rnacentral:lncRNA from 1 species
GUUGAGGGUGGGCAGCAGCCAUUGACUGGACAUCUGAAUCGGGGUGGGGUGAGUGCGACCAGCGCAGGUCAGGCAUCCAGGAAUACUUUCUAAAAUUCUCCUUUCUACCUGGUUUCUAAAUACCUCCCUUGCCGUCCUCUCUCUCCUCUAUCCAGAAUUGGAGGUGGAAAAGCUGAACUGGGAGAUAAAGGUGCGAGAGAAGUCAUAAAUACAAGUACCACUACACAAACUAGAAUAUGUGGGUGCUCUUCCCCCAGUUUGUUGUGCAGCACAAAGGAGGUGAACAACAAGUGGUGAAUCUUCAGAAUUGAAGAAGAGAGUAAGAGGAGUGUGAUAUAAUGUUGAGGGGUUAUCCAGAAACCUGGUCCAGAUGGCCUAAGUUAAAAGGGAAUAGUCUACCUAAUGGAACUCUUACAUGUUAAAAGGCCUGCUUUAAGUCUGGUCACUUCUGCAAGGAAGGAAAGGAGGAGGAGUCCGGUUCAAAUCUCUGGAGGAUAGCCUACAGGCUGCUGUAGAGUUUGACACCACUGGAAUCAAAGAAAGGAGCAAGAAAUUGUGCUACAUCAGUGCAGAUUGACUUCCAGUGGCAGCUCUGGUGGUGUUGGAAUUGCUGCUGAGCACUACCUUCAACAGGUGUGUACCUACCCAGGAACCAUCCAUCCUCUCCCAGCUUGGUUGUGUUUUCUCUUCACUCUGACUGUAAUAUUGACUGAGGCUGGGAUUGGAAAGGAGGCUUAUUGACUGCUGGACUGGUGAUUGGCUCUAACUUUUCUUUCCAACUGUAUCACCUGAGUCAUCAAAAAAUUAGAGUGUGAAGAUACAAAACUGUGAGAAAUCUGUGGUAGAAGCUGAGACUGGGAUAGUUGUAGUUAUUCAG